rnacentral:rRNA from 1 species
ACGGGAGGCAGCAGUGGGGGAUAUUGCACAAUGGGGGAAACCCUGAUGCAGCGACGCCGCGUGAGUGAAGAAGUAUUUCGGUAUGUAAAGCUCUAUCAGCAGGGAAGAAAAUGACGGUACCUGACUAAGAAGCUCCGGCUAAAUACGUGCCAGCAGCCGCGGUAAUACGUAUGGAGCAAGCGUUAUCCGGAUUUACUGGGUGUAAAGGGAGCGUAGACGGCGAGGCAAGUCUGAUGUGAAAGCCAUGGGCUCAACCCAUGAACUGCAUUGGAAACUGUCUUGCUUGAGUGUCGGAGAGGUAAGCGGAAUUCCUAGUGUAGCGGUGAAAUGCGUAGAUAUUAGGAGGAACACCAGUGGCGAAGGCGGCUUACUGGACAAUAACUGACGUUGAGGCUCGAAAGCGUGGGGAGCAAACAGGAUUAGAUACCCUGGUA